rnacentral:rRNA from 1 species
UUGAACGCUGGCGGCAGGCCUAACACAUGCAAGUCGAACGGUAACAGGAAGAAGCUUGCUUCUUUGCUGACGAGUGGCGGACGGGUGAGUAAUGUCUGGGAAACUGCCUGAUGGAGGGGGAUAACUACUGGAAACGGUAGCUAAUACCGCAUAACGUCGCAAGACCAAAGAGGGGGACCUUCGGGCCUCUUGCCAUCGGAUGUGCCCAGAUGGGAUUAGCUAGUAGGUGGGGUAACGGCUCACCUAGGCGACGAUCCCUAGCUGGUCUGAGAGGAUGACCAGCCACACUGGAACUGAGACACGGUCCAGACUCCUACGGGAGGCAGCAGUGGGGAAUAUUGCACAAUGGGCGCAAGCCUGAUGCAGCCAUGCCGCGUGUAUGAAGAAGGCCUUCGGGUUGUAAAGUACUUUCAGCGGGGAGGAAGGGAGUAAAGUUAAUACCUUUGCUCAUUGACGUUACCCGCAGAAGAAGCACCGGCUAACUCCGUGCCAGCAGCCGCGGUAAUACGGAGGGUGCAAGCGUUAAUCGGAAUUACUGGGCGUAAAGCGCGCGCAGGCGGUUUGUUAAGUCAGAUGUGAAAUCCCCGGGCUCAACCUGGGAACUGCAGCUGAUACUGGCAAGCUUGAGUCUCGUAGAGGGGGGUAGAAUUCCAGGUGUAGCGGUGAAAUGCGUAGAUAUUAGGAGGAACACCAGUGGCGAAGGCGGAUUGCUGGACGAUGACUGACGGUGAGGCGCGAAAGUGUGGGGAGCAAACAGGAUUAGAUACCCUGGUAGUCCACGCCGUAAACGAUGUCGACUUGGAGGUUGUGCCCUUGAGGCGUGGCUUCCGGAGCUAACGCGUUAAGUCGACCGCCUGGGGAGUACGGCCGCAAGGUUAAAACUCAAAUGAAUUGACGGGGGCCCGCACAAGCGGUGGAGCAUGUGGUUUAAUUCGAUGCAACGCGAAGAACCUUACCUGGUCUUGACAUCCACAGAACUUUCCAGAGAUGGAUUGGUGCCUUCGGGAACUGUGAGACAGGUGCUGCAUGGCUGUCGUCAGCUCGUGUUGUGAAAUGUUGGGUUAAGUCCCGCAACGAGCGCAACCCUUAUCCUUUGUUGCCAGCGGUCCGGCCGGGAACUCAAAGGAGACUGCCAGUGAUAAACUGGAGGAAGGUGGGGAUGACGUCAAGUCAUCAUGGCCCUUACGACCAGGGCUACACACGUGCUACAAUGGCGCAUACAAAGAGAAGCGACCUCGCGAGAGCAAGCGGACCUCAUAAAGUGCGUCGUAGUCCGGAUUGGAGUCUGCAACUCGACUCCAUGAAGUCGGAAUCGCUAGUAAUCGUGGAUCAGAAUGCCACGGUGAAUACGUUCCCGGGCCUUGUACACACCGCCCGUCACACCAUGGGAGUGGGUUGCAAAAGAAGUAGGUAGCUUAACCUUCGGGAGGGCGCUUACCACUUUGUGAUUCAUGACUGGGGUG